rnacentral:lncRNA from 1 species
CUGCUAGCAGACUCUCUCCUGGCUUUGAUGAAGCAAGCUGCCAUGUUGGAGAGGCCUACAUGACAAGGAACUGAAGGUUGCCUCCAGCCAACUCCAGCCAACAGCCAUCCAGGAAUUGAGGCUCUCAGUCCAACAGGCCUUGAGGAACUGCAUCCAGCCAGCAACUGUAGAAGUGAGCAAAGAAGUGUGUAUUUCCCCAGUCAAGCCUUCAGCUGAGACCCCAGCCCCAGCUGACACCUUAAUUGCAGCCUUGUGAGAGACCUUGGAGCAGAGAACCCAGAUUCUUCGGCGGGACCCACCCAGUUCCUGGACCCUGCCCUGGCCACUCCAGUGUCCACAAUCGCAAAACCCAUCCAUACACACACCUGCACUGACUGCUCACCUGUGAGAUACUCAGGAAUCAGCAACGUUUUCUAAAUGAAGAUUAGCCCUGAGCUAACUGCUGCCAAUCCUCCUCUUUUUGCUGAGGAAGACUGGGCUGAGCUAAUAUCCAUGCCCAUCUUCCUCUACUUUAUAUGUGGGACACCUACCACAGCAUGGCUUUUGCCAAGCGGUGCCAUGUCCGCACCCGGGAUCCCAGCCGGCGUACCUCAGGCUUCCGAAGUGGACGUGCGCACUUAACCGCUGCACCACCAGGCCGGCCCCAGAAAAGAUGUUCUAAAUCCAAACCUUUCAUUAAUCAAGAUUACCAUCAGCAUAUGUUAUUCAAAAACUAACUUGGGUCUUAUUUGUCGACACUCAUCAAAAUGGAAGGUGAGUUAUUGAAUA